UACGUAGGGGGCAAGCGUUGUCCGGAUUAUUGGGCGUAAAGAGCGUGUAGGCGGCCAUGAGGUCUGCUGUGAAAACUCGAGGCUCAACCUCGAGACGUCGGUUGAAACCGUAAGGCUAGAGUCCGGAAGAGGAGAGCGGAAUUCCGGGUGUAGCGGUGAAAUGCGUAGAUAUCCGGAGGAACACCGGUGGCGAAGGCGGCUCCUGGACCGAUUCUG
rnacentral:rRNA from 1 species